rnacentral:rRNA from 1 species
UACGUAGGGUGCGAGCGUUGUCCGGAAUUAUUGGGCGUAAAGGGCUCGUAGGCGGUUUGUCGCGUCGGGAGUGAAAACUCAGGGCUUAACCCUGAGCCUGCUUCCGAUACAGGCAGACUAGAGGUAUGCAGGGGAGAACGGAAUUCCUGGUGUAGCGGUGAAAUGCGCAGAUAUCAGGAGGAACACCGGUGGCGAAGGCGGUUCUCUGGGCAUUACCUGACGCUGAGGAGCGAAAGUGUGGGGAGCGAACAGG